UACGGAGGGUGCGAGCGUUGUCCGGAAUCAUUGGGCGUAAAGGGCGCGUAGGUGGCCCGGUCAGCGUGCGGUGAAAGCUCGGGGCUCAACCCCGAGUCGGCCGUGCGAACUGCUGGGCUUGAGCACUGUAGAGGCAGGCGGAAUUCCGGGUGCAGCGGCGGAAUGCGUAGAGAUCCGGAAGAACACCGGUGGCGAAGGCGGCCUGCUGGGCAGUGGCUGACACUGAGGCGCGACAGCGUGGGGAGCAAACAGG
rnacentral:rRNA from 1 species